GACAGGAUGUUCAAGAGCUGUGCAAAGAGAGAUCCAGCAGAUUGAGAAGGACCUGUGUAAACAGAGCUGUCCUUUUACCAUGUCCUUGGAAGCAUAUGAGGGGCUGAAGGAUUUAUUGAAGAAAAGGCUCCAGGAGAUGGAAAAACAAAUGGAGGAGUCCUUCAGCACAUACAGGAAUGUUUUGAUGGACCCCACUGCCCUACAGGAGGAAGACAAUGAAGGAGAGGAGGAAGUGUGGGAUGGGGAGAUCUGUCUCACCCUUGAUGACACUGACUCCUCUGAUGAUGAGAAGCAAGAUUGAUACAUCCAUGAUGAGCCCUUUUGAGCACCACUCCUCGUCCAAGACCUUUUCGGUUCUGCUCGGUUAUUCUGUAUUCAUG